UGGUUCCAUCCGAUCUUUCUGUUUGGGGUAAGUUUCGGUUCCUUUUAGUAGCCCAUCGUCAUUUGGUAUUCUUGGGCCAAAGCUAAUUUUUACCCAAGGAAUUUGUGGUUGGUUUCAGGAACUUGUGGUGGUGAAGGAACUUUCCAAGCGGCGUGAGGGUUCGUUUUGGGAAAUAUCCUGAGGUAAGUGGUUUAUUACCAGUUUGCCCUCAAUCCCAAGCAUGCGUUACGUAUUGAUUCCUAGGUUGGAAUAAAAUGUUUUGAUAAGCCUGCUGGUCAGAGGGGAAAAUUUUGAAGGUUUACGCAUAGGUCACUGUAUGUCAUUGCAAAGUUUGAUGGAUGGGUAAUAUAUGAUAGAGUUUGAUGGAUGGGCAAAUCGUGAACUGUUGGAUGAUAUUGGCACGAUUUAUGGCCUUGUUUGCAUGCUUAUGUCUGUUUCAGAUUUUAGUGUCUAUUAGUGGCAUGAUUUAUGGCCUUUGUUGCAUGCUUAUGUCUGUUUCAGAUUUUAGUGACUGUUAAUGUUGCCAUUGGGCUACGCACAUCGCAUGUUAUGAGCCUUCGAGUCCACACCCUAUGCUUAUGUACGGUGUGCUUUCUGAGACCACCACUUAUGUUUAUGUUGGUGACUUUUGGGGUCACUACUUAUGAAAGUGUGCCUUCAGGUAAGGGUAACGAUAGACCGGUGCAUGACAAGAGAGAUCUGUGACCUGGCCAUUUGGACGAUUUACUACUUCCACACUUCGGUGUCAUGUAUUGGAGUCUGUUUUAGAAGUUAGGCGUUUUAGACUCUUAUGAAAUAUUCAUUGAUUUUAUUAUUUGAUUAUUUAAUUGUUAUUCAUUUUAAAGUUGAGUUAAGGGUACCCCAAACGGUAUUUUAUUAUUAUUAUUAUUUAUUUAUGUUUUCUCA